rnacentral:misc_RNA from 1 species
AACCAUAGAAACCUGCGGAGUACCUGCGGAAGGAUCAUUACUGAGUGUAAAAACUCCCAAACCCACUGUGAACAUACCAAAUGUUGCUUCGGCGGCCUUCGCCCCGGGCGCGCCACGGCGUGCCCCGGAACCAGGCGACCGCCGGGGGACCCCCAAACUCUCGUUUUCUAGCAGUCUGUCUGAGUGGAUUUACGAAUCAAAUCAAAACUUUCAACAACGGAUCUCAGAUCGGAAGAGCAC